AGCUGCCAGCAGAGGAGGGUAAAUCCCUUUGGGAGCUGGUGAUUGAACAAUUUGAAGAUCUGCUUGUGAGGAUCCUUUUACUUGCUGCCUGCAUAUCGUUUGUGCUGGCCUGGUUUGAAGAGGGUGAAGAAACGGUUACAGCCUUCGUGGAACCUUUUGUUAUCUUGCUUAUUCUCAUAGCAAAUGCCAUCGUAGGAGUCUGGCAGGAGCGAAAUGCAGAAAAUGCCAUUGAAGCUCUUAAGGAAUACGAGCCAGAGAUGGGGAAAGUGUACCGCCAGGACAGGAAGAGUGUCCAGAGAAUCAAAGCCAGAGACAUUGUGCCGGGGGACAUUGUAGAGGUGGCAGUUGGUGAUAAAGUGCCUGCUGACAUCAGGCUGACCUCUAUAAAGUCGACCACACUGAGGGUGGAUCAGUCAAUACUUACAGGAGAGUCUGUGUCUGUGAUCAAACACACAGACCCGGUGCCAGACCCACGUGCUGUCAACCAGGACAAAAAGAACAUGCUCUUUUCUGGUACAAACAUUGCAGCCGGUAAGGCUGUCGGUGUGGUGGUGGCCACAGCUGGAAACACAGAAAUCGGUAAAAUCCGAGAUGAGAUGGCAUCAACAGAGCAGGAGCGCACACCACUGCAGCAGAAGCUGGAUGAGUUUGGAGAGCAGCUAUCUAAGGUCAUCUCACUGAUCUGCAUUGCUGUGUGGAUCAUCAAUAUUGGACAUUUCAAUGAUCCUGUUCACGGAGGUUCCUGGAUCCGAGGCGCCGUCUACUACUUUAAGAUUGCUGUGGCCCUGGCAGUAGCUGCUAUUCCUGAGGGUCUCCCUGCUGUCAUCACUACCUGCCUGGCGUUGGGGACACGCCGCAUGGCCAAGAAGAAUGCCAUUGUCCGCAGUUUGCCCUCCGUGGAGACCCUGGGGUGUACAUCUGUCAUCUGCUCGGACAAAACUGGCACCCUGACCACCAAUCAGAUGUCUGUGUGCAGGAUGUUUAUCAUUGAUAAAACUGAAGGUGAUAGCUGUUCAUUAAAGGAAUUCACUGUAACUGGUUCCACUUAUGCCCCUAAUGGAGAAGUUUUUCACAACGGCAAAGCAGUGAAAUGUUCCCAAUAUGAUGCCUUGGUGGAGAUGGCCUCCAUCUGUGCUCUCUGUAACGACUCWUCACUGGACUAUAAUGAGACUAAAGGUGUAUAUGAGAAGGUGGGUGAGGCCACAGAGACCGCUCUGACGUGCUUGGUGGAGAAGAUGAACGUGUUUGACACAAACAUCAAAAACCUGUCCAAGGUUGAGCGAGCCAACGCCUGUAACUCUGUGAUCAAGCAGCUGAUGAGGAAAGAAUUCACUUUAGAGUUUUCCAGAGACAGGAAGUCSAUGUCUGUGUACUGUAUUCCUAACAAAGCUCGCUCCUCUGCUGGCAAGAUGUUUGUAAAGGGUGCCCCUGAGGGAGUGAUUGACAGGUGCACRCACAUCCGUGUAGGCAGCAACAAGGUGCCCAUGACCCCUGGCAUCAAGGACAAAAUCAUGUCUGUGAUCCGAGAAUAUGGGACUGGCAGAGACACCCUGCGCUGCCUGGCUCUGGCAACGCGAGAUAACCCCAUGAAUAAAGACGACAUGGUGUUGGAGGACUCGUCUCGCUUCGUAGAGUAUGAGACUGAUCUCACAUUUGUGGGCUGUGUCGGCAUGUUGGAUCCUCCGAGGGCAGAGGUGGCAGCAUCCAUUCGCCUCUGUCGCCUCGCUGGCAUCAGAGUAAUCAUGAUCACUGGAGACAACAAGGGAACAGCAGUGGCUAUUUGCAGACGCAUCGGCAUCUUCGGUGAGGAUGAUGAUGUUUCCAGCAUGGCUUUCACUGGCAGAGAGUUUGAUGACCUCACACCUACUGCACAAAGAGAAGCUGUGGUCAAAGCUCGCUGCUUCGCUCGGGUCGAGCCUGCACAUAAAUCCAAGAUUGUGGAGUAUCUGCAGUCCUACGAUGAGAUUACAGCAAUGACGGGUGAUGGAGUAAACGAUGCCCCCGCUCUGAAGAAGGCUGAGAUCGGCAUCGCCAUGGGCUCAGGAACAGCUGUGGCUAAAACCGCCUCAGAGAUGGUCCUGGCUGAUGACAACUUUUCUACCAUCGUAGCUGCAGUGGAGGAAGGCAGAGCCAUUUACAACAACAUGAAGCAGUUCAUCAGAUAYCUCAUCUCCUCUAAUGUGGGCGAGGUUGUCUGCAUCUUCCUGACUGCAGCCCUGGGGUUCCCUGAAGCUUUGAUCCCCGUUCAGCUGCUCUGGGUCAACCUGGUGACUGACGGUUUACCUGCCACCGCUUUGGGCUUCAACCCUCCCGACUUGGACAUUAUGAGCAAACCUCCACGCAACGCUCGCGAGCCCCUCAUCUCCGGAUGGCUCUUCUUUAGAUACCUGGCCAUUGGAUGUUAUGUUGGGGCUGCCACUGUUGGCGCUGCUUCUUGGUGGUUUGUUGCUGCUGAGGAUGGACCAAGGAUCACCUUCUACCAGCUGAGUCACUUCCUGCAAUGCGGUCCAGAAAAUCCAGAGUUCCAGGGUCUGGACUGUAAGGUGUUUGAGUCCCCUUACCCUAUGACCAUGGCCCUGUCAGUGCUGGUCACCAUUGAGAUGUGCAAUGCCCUUAACAGUGUGUCAGAGAAUCAGUCCCUUCUACGGAUGCCUCCUUGGGAAAAUGUUUGGCUGCUGGGAGCCAUCUGUCUCUCCAUGUCUCUGCACUUCCUCAUCCUCUAUGUGGARCCUCUUCCUAUCAUCUUUCAGAUCACCCCUUUGAAUCUGACUCAGUGGCUCAUGGUGCUGAAGAUCUCGCUGCCGGUCAUCUUACUGGACGAAAUGCUCAAGUUUGCUGCCAGGAACUACCUGGAGCCCGGUAGAGAGCUGGAGAAGCCUGCGAGCUGCAAAGCCUGCUCUUUGUUUGCAUGUAUGGAGGGCAUCUCCUGGCCUUUCGUGGCCAUUUCCCUCCCUCUGAUUGUGUGGAUCUACAGCUCUGACACUAACCUGGCUGACAUGUUCAUGUCCUGACUGACCUGAGCACAACCUCCACUGUUUCCAUCCCCCCUCCYACUGCCAUCACCGCCCUCUUUCCCUCUCUCUCUGCCUUCUUAAAUGUGCAUAGCUAGCGUGUGUGAGCGUUUGUAGACUUGGCGUGAGUGUGUGAGCUCGUGUGCAUGAGAAGGACCAACCCAUCAAAUCUAACAAAUAAUAUAAAAAGUUGAACGGUUGUUUGUUUUGACUUGAGAUAGGAUUUGUGAAUGGAUGAGGCUUUAAACCGAGUGUUAGAGGACCACCACUCCCAUAGCUUUGGACUGUGUUGCUGGUUUCAAAGCAAAUAGUGUUGCCAUUUUUUGUUAAUAUUUCCUUUAAGAUAUGUUUUAAAAUUUGUGUCCGAUGUCACUACAAUUCUUAAAAAAAAUACUUUUGUUUAGGUUCCCUCCCAAUGAAAAAGARGUUUAAGAUAUCAAAUUAUUUGAUCUGUACAGAGAUUGAACACUAUUUUAUGCAACUUUUUUUUAUGGCUUUGUAAAUCGUUUAACCAGCGUGACUUAGAGAUACCGCCUUGAUUUUUUUUUUUUUUUUUUKKUUUGUUUUACCAUUGUGUCUUCAGUAAAAACUGAGAGGACAAGCUCCAUAUGGCAGACAAAGAUGGGGAAAGGUUUGGCUGAAACUAAGAGGAAAAAAAACAUCCUGAGAAACAAAAAAGAAAAAAAAAACGCUGCAUGUCCUGUGACCAAGCAUGAACUCUGUGGUUUCUCAUUUCUAAUUUAUAUACGUUCCCCUUGUUUAAACGUAAAUAACUUUGUAAAUCUAUUUUUUUUUUUUACAGUGAUGGUUGAAAAUAGUCAGUUUUUCUGCACCUGGCAGAGCACAGCUACCUCAAUUUGAUGAAAGAAUAAGUUUUGCUCAUCUCGACACGCUUUUUAACAGUCUUGCUGAAAGAUAACAUCUGAGGUGUGCCUCCUAUUUGCUUGUGCAGAAAACAAAAGAACAAAAUUGUUUUUUUUUCUCCCCCGCUGUAACUCAAUUUUAAGGAUAUAUUUUGUUUGUAUGAACUUGUGGCAUUCUUUAACUUUAUUUGUGUUUUGCUGUGGAGGCAGAGCUGGGUGGGGAUGCUGUAUGUUUACCAUCUCCAUAGCGUUUGAUUCAAAGGACAGUAAUCUUUAAAGAAUAAUACUAAAACAAGUUUUUCAUAUGAACAUUAAUUUCAGAUUACAUUUUUUUUUUUUUUUUUUACUUUUAAGAAAAAUACACUCAUGAACCCUUUGAAUCAAGUGUUUUCUGUCUUUAUUUAAACAUUUAUUUCUCAUGGUUUUCAGUUUCAUAACUGAUGUUUUUGUAUGUGUAUGUUUCACUUGAAUACAAAUGAUUUCAGACAUGAGUGAAUGCUUGAGUUUUCUUGCUUUAACAUAGCGACGAGCGAUUCCAGACUCAACCUUUUAGACUUUAGAGUGCUUUGUUUGUGGUAGAUUAUACAUUUUGAUUCCAAGUCAGUUGCACUAAUGGAGCAUUAAUUUGUGUGUACAUUUCUGUGUGUGGAAAAAAAAAMCCCAUCAAAAGCAUGUGUUUUAGGUAGAAGCCUGGUUGUUCUCACCCACUUGUUUGUCUUAAUUUUGUUUUUCUUCAAUGCCUUCCGUUGGCUCUCCUGUCACUAGUGUUGGCUUUCAUGAAAACUUGCAGUUUAGGAUCGAAAUAAGAAWCUGGAGUCGUCCAGUCCAGAGUGAACGCUCACGCUUAAUAUGCAGACGCCACGAAGACCAGCAGUUUGUACCAAUAAACUGGUAAAGAGGGACAAAAUGGCCGAAAACGUACAUUUUUUUCUUUUCUUCUUUUUGUUAAAUGACCACAAAYGACACACAACAUACUUUUGCAUAUUUUUUGUGUUUACAAUAUGACACUAUUCCAGUUUUCUGUGCAGCGAAGUUCUURCAGCCUCACUAAAUCCCUCUUGCAUGAAUAACUCAUGUUGUCCCGUGAGGAAUUUCCAAAAACACUGGGUUUAAUAGUCUUAGCUGUACAUUAAUAUUCAAAACAUUCAUGCAUGUGUUUCAGCUGUAUGUAGGCUUUGCCUUUUUUUGUAUUUAUAGAUUCUAAUGUAUAAUACUCAAAUGAUAAUAGGAUGGUUUUAAGGUAGAUAUGUGAUUAAUAAAUUGUAAAAUCACUGUUUUUAUUGUAAUGGUUUGGGAAAUUUGCACAACGUUGGACAUGGAGAACUGAUUCAUGCUAAACUUGACUGUGCUUAACUUUUUUAUUUGUCUUAUUUUUGCCCCAUUAGUUAUCUUUAAGCAUAUCACUAAGCCAUUUACUUUUCAUGAUUUAGUCUUUUGCAUUAAACAGACUUAUUUCUUGGUGAACCUGCAAUAUAAACAUGUCUGGUUUUCUUAUUGCCUUGACAUUCCUAUUAUAUUAUAAUUAUUAUGAAUCUUUAUCAACUGCUGUAAAACUGUGAUUUAAAGUGAGAGGCUGUACGGUCUCAUGACACCUGAUAGAGGGAUGAUAUUAAUCAUAUGUAAAGAAGACAUCAAUCAUUUAUGAAGGUUAAAAUGAUUGUACAUGCAUUACUGAGGUUGUGGUUUCAGGUAAAUAAAAUAUUAAAGUAUUUGA